rnacentral:rRNA from 1 species
GAUGAACGCUGGCGGCGUGCCUAAUACAUGCAAGUCGAGCGAACAGACGAGGAGCUUGCUCCUCUGACGUUAGCGGCGGACGGGUGAGUAACACGUGGAUAACCUACCUAUAAGACUGGGAUAACUUCGGGAAACCGGAGCUAAUACCGGAUAAUAUAUUGAACCGCAUGGUUCAAUAGUGAAAGACGGUUUUGCUGUCACUUAUAGAUGGAUCCGCGCCGCAUUAGCUAGUUGGUAAGGUAACGGCUUACCAAGGCAACGAUGCGUAGCCGACCUGAGAGGGUGAUCGGCCACACUGGAACUGAGACACGGUCCAGACUCCUACGGGAGGCAGCAGUGGGGAAUCUUGCGCAAUGGGCGAAAGCCUGACGGAGCAACGCCGCGUGAGUGAAGAAGGUCUUCGGAUUGUAAAACCCUUUUAUUAGGGAAGAAAAAAAGUGGAAGUAAAUAGUGCAGUUUUGACGGUACCCAAUCAAAAAGCCACGGCUAACUACGUG